rnacentral:rRNA from 1 species
UAGGGAAUCUUCCGCAAUGGGCGAAAGCCUGACGGAGCAACGCCGCGUGAGUGAUGAAGGUCUUCGGAUCGUAAAACUCUGUUAUUAGGGAAGAACAAAUGUGUAAGUAACUAUGCACAUCUUGACGGUACCUAAUCAGAAAGCCACGGCUAACUACGUGCCAGCAGCCGCGGUAAUACGUAGGUGGCAAGCGUUAUCCGGAAUUAUUGGGCGUAAAGGGUACGCAGGCGGUUUAAUAAGUCGAAUGUUAAAGAUCGGGGCUCAACCCCGUAAAGCAUUGGAAACUGAUAAACUUGAGUAGUGGAGAGGAAAGUGGAAUUCCUAGUGUAGUGGUGAAAUACGUAGAUAUUAGGAGGAAUACCAGUAGCGAAGGCGACUUUCUGGACACAAACUGACGCUGAGGUACGAAAGCGUGGGGAGCAAACAGG